rnacentral:rRNA from 1 species
CCUACGGGUGGCUGCAGUGGGGAAUAUUGCACAAUGGGGGAAAGCCUGACGCAGCGACGCCGCGUGAGUGAAGAAGUUAUUCGGAAUGUAAAGCUCUAUCAGCAGGGAAGAAGAAGACGGUACCUGAGUAAGAAACCCCGGCCAACUACGGGCCAGCAGCCCCGGUAAUAAGGCGGGGGCAAGCGUUAUCCGGAUGUGCUGGGUGUAAAGGGAGCGUAGACGGCAGUGCAAGUCUGGAGUGAAAGGCUGGGGCUCAACCCCCGGACUGCCUUGGAAACUGGACGGCUGGAGUGCAGGAGAGGUAAGUGGAAUUCCUAGUGUAGCGGUGAAAUGCGUAGAUAUUAGGAGGAACACCAGUGGCGAAGGCGGCUUACUGGACUGUAACUGACGUUGAGGCUCGAAAGCGUGGGGAGCAAACAGGAUUAGAUACCCCUGUAGUC